rnacentral:misc_RNA from 1 species
GAUGAAGAACGUAGCGAAAUGCGAUAAGUAAUGUGAAUUGCAGAAUUCAGUGAAUCAUCGAAUCUUUGAACGCUCAUUGCGCCCUUUGGUAUUCCGAAGGGCAUGCCUGUUCGAGCGUCAUUAUCACCCCUCAAGCCCCUUGGCUUGGUGUUGGACGGUUGGCGACGACCCCUGGGUCGUCGCCCCUCCCAAAGACAAUGACGGCGGCCUCGUUGGACCCCCGGUACACUGAGUUCUUCACGGGACACGUACUGGAUCAAGGGUGCGCGGAGCACGGUCUUAACCAUUUCACCCCUCGUGGGCGGAAUAAUUUUUCUAGGUUGACCUCGGAUCAGGUAGGGAUACCCGCUGAACUUAAGCAUAUCAAUAAGCGGAGGA